rnacentral:rRNA from 1 species
AUUGAACGCUGGCGGCAUGCUUUACACAUGCAAGUCGAACGGCAGCGGGGGCUUCGGUCCGCCGGCGAGUGGCGAACGGGUGAGUAAUGCAUCGGAACGUGCCCAGUCGUGGGGGAUAACACAUCGAAAGAUGUGCUAAUACCGCAUACGUCCUGAGGGAGAAAGCGGGGGAUCUUCGGACCUCGCGCGAUUGGAGCGGCCGAUGUCGGAUUAGCUAGUUGGUGGGGUAAAGGCCCACCAAGGCGACGAUCCGUAGCGGGUCUGAGAGGAUGAUCCGCCACACUGGGACUGAGACACGGCCCAGACUCCUACGGGAGGCAGCAGUGGGGAAUUUUGGACAAUGGGGGCAACCCUGAUCCAGCCAUGCCGCGUGAGUGAAGAAGGCCUCGGUGUAAGACUCUUCGUCCGGACGAAGUACGCAUUCUCUAACAUAGGAAUGUGGAUGACGGUA